CAUUAUGCAGAUGAUGAAGAUAUUGCUAGUGUUGAAGCUGCUACCUUAAAGCAGGCAUAUGCUGGCUUAGUAACAAUGAUACUGGAGGCUGUCAAGGUGGAUUGCGACUCAUCCAGCAUAAGUUCUGUGCUUGAAGACUGCAAAUGGGGCAGUGACAGAAUAGAGUAUUUUACAAAGCAUUUUCUGGAUUGCAAACCCAAUUUGGAAGCACUCCUAGCAAGGUACGCCCAUUUGUUUUAUCUUCUCAAUAUACUACUGUAUGUAAUCCAGUGAGACAUCUACUUUGCAGCUCUGCAAAAGGUUUGGCAUCAUCUUGAUGAAACCAUCCAGGGAGUUUUAGAAAUUAUACUCCUUGUACAGAAGCUCCUUGCUUUGGAAACUGGGAUAAUCUUUUGUGGCACCUAUUGGACACUUGAGCCUAUGUAGACUUUACUUUUGCCUAUUGUUUUUGCCGCUAACUUGCUUUUCUCAACCCUGUCUAGUGGAAGAUCCAGACCUUAAGCUAAGGGGGGAGCCCAGUUCUCUUUUUUUUUCUCUUUGCUUCCCUGCCGGCUUUUUUUCGCGAUUUUCUUUUUUUACCCAAAGUAAGGGGGGCUCAUGGGCCCCUUGGGCCCCUUCCCUAGAUCCGCCACUGCUGUCAUAAUAUCGUUUGGACAAACUCUGACACUUAUCAUUGAGCCAUUUUCUUAUGCUU